AGUAGCAGACUCUUACAGAGAUGAGUUCCCAGUCCAUACUUAAAAGAUACACACAAUUGACAUAACUAACUCCCUAUAUAUACAUAACUAACUCCCUAUAUAACUACACACAUCUCUCUCUCUCUCUCUCUCUCUCUCUCUCUCUCUCUCUCUAUAUAUAUAUAUAUAUAUAUAUAUAUAUAUAUAUAUAUAACUGAUUAACAGGAACUGUCAGUGGGGCAUUAAGAUGUCAGAUGCCCUCUUCUGAUAUACACUUUGCAGAUGGGUGAUUUACUCCUUCGGACAGGAUCUAACAAUGGAUCAUUUCUGGCUUAUUUGGAUCUUGAUUCCCAUCAGUCCCUUUCAAAAUAUUACGUUAAUCAAUGAAUCAGAGAACAAGGACAUCAAAUUUACUAUUGCUUAUUACUAUUUUCCAUUGAGACAGGAUCUAACAAUGGAUCAUUUCUGGCUUAUUUGGAUCUUGAUUCCCAUCAGUCCCUUUCAAAAUAUUACGUUAAUCAAUGAAUCAGAGAACAAGGACAUCAAAUUUACUAUUGCUUAUUACUAUUUUCCAUUGAGACAAAAUCAUAUGCACAUAUUCAUCAAAUCCAGAGAGAAGUCCAUGCUUAACCUCUUUCCCUGUUUUUGCUUUCCAAAGUUAGGUUUGUACCCAAAAAAUCAAAUUAGCAUUCUAAUAGAUCUAGCAACCAAAUAAAGUUCCACAACACAGCAUUCUUAUUUUAUAUUUCAAAUUAUGAACUUUCCAGCCAAAGUCCAUAAUGUGACUUUCCAGAUUCUAUUGUAAUUAGGUAUUCUGGUCAAUCUAUAACACAUGACGGACAACUGAAAGUUUGCAAAAGAUCCAUAACCACAAUAUUAUAAUCAAGUUGGUGUUGUCAACCCUUAUGUAUAAUGCCUCAAAUUUACUUUGGAAUGAAGACAAGUGGAUCAUAUACCAAGAAAUGAUUGACGAAUAGU